UGGAUCCAGACUUUGAUUCUGGCUCAGGAUGAACGCUGGCGGCGCGCCUAACACAUGCAAGUCGAACGGUUAAGGCGCCCUUCGGGGCGCGUAUAGAGUGGCGAACGGCUGAGUAACACGUGGGCAACCUGCCCCCCGCACCGGGACAGCCUCGGGAAACCGUGGGUAAUACCGGGUACUCCGCCACCCCCGCAUGGGGGAGGCGGGAGAGCGUAUGCGGCGGGGGAUGGGCCCGCGGCCUGUUAGCUAGUUGGCGGGGCAACGGCCCACCAAGGCGAUUAUGGGUAGCUGGGUUGAGAGACCGACCAGCCAGAUUGGGACUGAGACACGGCCCAGACUCCUACGGGAGGCAGCAGUGGGGAAUCUUGCGCAAUGGGGGCAACCCUGACGCAGCGACGCCGCGUGCGGGACGAAGGCCUUCGGGUCGUAAACCGCUUUCAGCAGGGACGAGGCCGCGAGGUGACGGUACCUGCAGAAGAAGCCCCGGCUAACUACGUGCCAGCAGCCGCGGUAAUACGUAGGGGGCGAGCGUUAUCCGGAUUCAUUGGGCGUAAAGCGCUCGUAGGCUGCCCGCUAGGUCCGGGGUCAAAUCCGGGGGCUCAACCCCCGCACGCCCCGGAUACCGGCGGGCUUGAGUCGGGUAGGGGAAGGCGGAAUUCCAGGUGUAGCGGUGGAAUGCGCAGAUAUCUGGAAGAACACCGGUGGCGAAGGCGGCCUUCUGGGCCUCGACUGACGCUGAGGAGCGAAAGCUGGGGGAGCGAACAGGAUUAGAUACCCUGGUAGUCCCAGCCGUAAACGAUGGACGCUAGGUGUGGGGGGAUUGUCCCUCCGUGCCGCAGCCAACGCAUUAAGCGUCCCGCCUGGGGAGUACGGCCGCAAGGCUACAACUCAAAGGAAUUGACGGA
rnacentral:rRNA from 1 species